AUCUUCUACAAUGGCCGGAAGCCUGAUGGAGCAACGCUGCGUGAGUGAAUAAGGCUAUCGGAUCGUAAAACUCUGUUGUAAGGGAAGAAGAAGUACAGGAGUAACUGGCUGUGCCUGGACGGUACCUUAUUAGAAAGCCACGGCUAACUACGUCCCAGCAUCCGCGGUAAUACGGCGGUGGCAAGCGUUGUCCGGAAUUAUUGGGCGUAAAGCGCGCGCAGGCGGUCCUUUAAGUCUGAUGUGAAAGCCCACGGCUCAACCGUGGAGGGUCAUUGGAAACUAGGGGACUUGAGUGCAGAAGAGGAAAGUGGAAUUCCAAGUGUAGCGGUGAAAUGCGUAGAGAUUUGGAGGAACACCAGUGGCGAAGGCGACUUUCUGGUCUGUAACUGACGCUGAGGCGCGAAAACGUGGGGAGCAAACAGG
rnacentral:rRNA from 1 species